UUAGUGUUGUGUCGAUAGUCGUGGUAUUGCGUAGGAGGCAGAGUUUGUCCGUGAUUUUGGUGGUUGAAGUGUGCGCAUGCGUUUGCGUAAUUCUGAGGUGAAAGCCCCCGGCUCAACCGGUGAGGGUCAUUGGAUAAUGGGGAACUUGAGUACUGAAGAGGAAAGCGGAAUUCCACGUGUAGCGGUGAAUUGCGGAGAGAUGUGUAGGAACACCAGUGGCGAAGGCGGCUUUCUGGUCAGUAACUGACGCUGAGGCGCGAAAGCGUGGGGAGCAAACAGGAUUAGAUACCCUUGUAGUC
rnacentral:rRNA from 1 species